rnacentral:rRNA from 1 species
AGUGAACGCUGGCGGUAGGCCUAACACAUGCAAGUCGAACGGCAGCACAGUAAGAGCUUGCUCUUACGGGUGGCGAGUGGCGGACGGGUGAGGAAUACAUCGGAAUCUACUUUUUCGUGGGGGAUAACGUAGGGAAACUUACGCUAAUACCGCAUACGACCUACGGGUGAAAGCAGGGGAUCUUCGGACCUUGCGCGAUUGAAUGAGCCGAUGUCGGAUUAGCUAGUUGGCGGGGUAAAGGCCCACCAAGGCGACCAUCCGUAGCUGGUCUGAGAGGAUGAUCAGCCAAACUGGAACUGAGACACGGUCCAGACUCCUACGGGAGGCAGCAGUGGGGAAUAUUGGACAAUGGGCGCAAGCCUGAUCCAGCCAUACCGGGUGGGUGAAGAAGGCCUUCGGGUUGUAAAACCCUUUUGUUGGGAAAGAAAAGCAGCAGGUUAAUACCCCGCUGUUCUGACGGUACCCAAAGAAUAAGCACCGGCUAACUUCGUG